AUUGAACGCUGGCGGCAGGCCUAACACAUGCAAGUCGAGCGAGUGGCGGACGGGUGAGUAAUGUCUGGGAAACUGCCUGAUGGAGGGGGAUAACUACUGGAAACGGUAGCUAAUAACGCAUACCAUCAGAUGUGCCCAGAUUGGAUUAGCUAGGUGGUGGGGUAACGGCUCACCAAGGCGACGAUCCCUAGCUGGUCUGAGAGGAUGACCAGCCACACUGGAACUGAGACAUGGUCCAGACUCCUACGGGAGGCAGCAGUGGGGAAUAUUUCACAAUGGGCGAAAGCCUGAUGCAGCCAUGCCGCGUGUAUGAAGAUGGCCUUCGGGUUGUAAAGUACUUUCAGCUGGGAGGCGUUACCCGCAGAAGAAGCACCGGCUAACUCCGUGCCAGCAGCCGCGGUAAUAC
rnacentral:rRNA from 1 species